GUCUAUGGCCAUGCCACCCUAAACACACCUGAUCUCGUCUGAUCUCGGAAGCUAACCAGGGUCAGGCCUGGUUAAUACUCGGAUGGGAGACUACCUAGGAAUACCAGGUGCUGUAGGCU
rnacentral:rRNA from 1 species